rnacentral:rRNA from 1 species
GGUGGCGUGCCUAAUACAUGCAAGUCGAGCGAGCGGAACUAACAGAUUUACUUCGGUAAUGACGUUAGGAAAGCGAGCGGCGGAUGGGUGAGUAACACGUGGGGAACCUGCCCCAUAGUCUGGGAUACCACUUGGAAACAGGUGCUAAUACCGGAUAAGAAAGCAGAUCGCAUGAUCAGCUUUUAAAAGGCGGCGUAAGCUGUCGCUAUGGGAUGGCCCCGCGGUGCAUUAGCUAGUUGGUAAGGUAAAGGCUUACCAAGGCGAUGAUGCAUAGCCGAGUUGAGAGACUGAUCGGCCACAUUGGGACUGAGACACGGCCCAAACUCCUACGGGAGGCAGCAGUAGGGAAUCUUCCACAAUGGACGCAAGUCUGAUGGAGCAACGCCGCGUGAGUGAAGAAGGUUUUCGGAUCGUAAAGCUCUGUUGUUGGUGAAGAAGGAUAGAGGUAGUAACUGGCCUUUAUUUGACGGUAAUCAACCAGAAAGUCACGGCUAACUACGUGCCAGCAGCCGCGGUAAUACGUAGGUGGCAAGCGUUGUCCGGAUUUAUUGGGCGUAAAGCGAGCGCAGGCGGAAGAAUAAGUCUGAUGUGAAAGCCCUCGGCUUAACCGAGGAACUGCAUCGGAAACUGUUUUUCUUGAGUGCAGAAGAGGAGAGUGGAACUCCAUGUGUAGCGGUGGAAUGCGUAGAUAUAUGGAAGAACACCAGUGGCGAAGGCGGCUCUCUGGUCUGCAACUGACGCUGAGGCUCGAAAGCAUGGGUAGCGAACAGGAUUAGAUACCCUGGUAGUCCAUGCCGUAAACGAUGAGUGCUAAGUGUUGGGAGGUUUCCGCCUCUCAGUGCUGCAGAUAACGCAUUAAGCACUCCGCCUGGGGAGUACGACCGCAAGGUUGAAACUCAAAGGAAUUGACGGGGGCCCGCACAAGCGGUGGAGCAUGUGGUUUAAUUCGAAGCAACGCGAAGAACCUUACCAGGUCUUGACAUCUAGUGUCAUUUGUAGAGAUACAAAGUUCCCUUCGGGGACGCUAAGACAGGUGGUGCAUGGCUGUCGUCAGCUCGUGUCGUGAGAUGUUGGGUUAAGUCCCGCAACGAGCGCAACCCUUGUUAUUAGUUGCCAGCAUUAAGUUGGGCACUCUAAUGAGACUGCCGGUGACAAACCGGAGGAAGGUGGGGAUGACGUCAAGUCAUCAUGCCCCUUAUGACCUGGGCUACACACGUGCUACAAUGGGCAGUACAACGAGAAGCGAGCCUGCGAAGGCAAGCGAAUCUCUGAAAGCUGUUCUCAGUUCGGACUGCAGUCUGCAACUCGACUGCACGAAGCUGGAAUCGCUAGUAAUCGCGGAUCAGCACGCCGCGGUGAAUACGUUCCCGGGCCUUGUACACACCGCCCGUCACACCAUGGGAGUCCGCAAUGCCCAAAGCCGGUGGCCUAACCUUCGGGAAGGAGCCGUCUAAGGCAGGGCAGAUGACUGGGGUGAAGUCAUA